AAGUCUGAUGGAGCAAUACCACGUGAACGAUGAAGGUCUUCUGAUUGUAAAGUUCUUUUAUUUAGGAAAAAAAGCGCGCUAGGAAAUGAGCGCGCCUUGAUGGUACUAAUUGAAUAAGUGACAGCUAACUAUGUGCCAGCAGCUGCGGUAAAACAUAGGUCACGAGCAUUAUCCGGAUUUAUUGGGCGUAAAGGAAGCGUAGGUGGGGAGGUUGAUCCAUUGUUAAAGGCAUUUGCUUAACAAAUGUGUGCGAUGGAGAUCGCCUCCCUAGAGUUAAUCAGGGGGUACUGGAAUUCAAUGUGUAGCGGUGGAAUGCGUAGAUAUAUUGAGGAACACCAGAGGCUAAGGCGAGUACCUAGGAUAUAACUGACACUGAGGCUUGAAAGCGUGGGGAGCAAAUGGGAUUAGAUACCCCAGUAGUCCACGCCGUAAACGAUGGGCAUUAGGUAUUUGACAUCUAGUCGAGUGCUGUAGCUAACGCGUUAAAUGCCCCGCCUGGGUAGUAUAUAUGCAAAUAUGAAACUCAAAGAAAUUGA
rnacentral:rRNA from 1 species